rnacentral:rRNA from 1 species
CCUACGGGGGACAGCAGUCGAGAAUCAUUCACAAUGGGGGAAACCCUGAUGGUGCGACGCCGCAUGGGGGAAUGAAGGUCUUCGGAUUGUAAACCCCUGUCAUGUGGGAGCAAAUUAAAAAGAUAGUACCACAAGAGGAAGAGACGGCUAACUCUGUGCCAGCAGCCGCGGUAACACAGAGGUCUCAAGCGGUGUUCGGAAUCACUGGGCGUAAAGGGUGCGUAGGCUGUUUCGUAAGGCGGGUGUGAAAGGCGCGGGCUCAACCCGCGGACGGCACAUGAUACUGCGAGACUAGAGUAAUGGAGGGGGAACCGGAAUUCUCGGUGUAGCAGUGAAAUGCGUAGAUAUCGAGCGGAACACUCGUGGCGAAGGCGGGUUCCUGGACAUUAACUGACGCUGAGGCACGAAGGCGAGGGGAGCGAAAGGGAUUAGAUACCCGGGUAGUC